CACAGUGGCCGAGAAGACGUCGCGGACCGGACGACGGCUUCGGCUGCCAACAGACCGGCGACCAGACGCAAGUGCGACCGGAUAGAUCGGGGCGGGAUGCAUCGCGGUAUAGCGGUAGAUCGGUGUAGCACAAGGCGACAUGGUGACACGGUGGACGAGUUGUGUCGACGAUGUAAGUGGUCAGGGUGCAACACGGAUUUGUACAUAUAAUUUGCACAAGGGUGCGACGGUUACCAAGUGCUGGCGUCGACAGCAGGUGACAGCAGGCGGCAGACACCGGAAUUAACUCGUUGGACGAUGCUGCGGCAGAUGGAUUGGAAGUGUGAGUCAAGGUCCUAGGACGGCAAAAAAAAAAAGAGCAAACGCGGCAGAGCAAAAAGAAUCGCAAGCACGUAAGCACGACUAGCAGUACUACUCGGAACCCAAAGGAAGAAAAAAGAAGCAAAGAAGAGGGCUGCAGGCCAUCACGUGUAGCUGACAAAGAGUUCCAAUUGGGGAAACAGGAGGCUACGUGAUGUGUUCAGCUUGGCC
rnacentral:lncRNA from 1 species